rnacentral:rRNA from 1 species
AAUCGUACCCCAAACCGACACAGGUGGUCAGGUAGAGAAUACCAAGGCGCUUGAGAGAACUCGGGUGAAGGAACUAGGCAAAAUGGUGCCGUAACUUCGGGAGAAGGCACGCUGGUGUGUAGGUGAAGCCCCUGCGGGUGGAGCUGAGACCAGUCGAAGAUACCAGCUGGCUGCAACUGUUUAUUAAAAACACAGCACUGUGCAAACACGAAAGUGGACGUAUACGGUGUGACGCCUGCCCGGUGCCGGAAGGUUAAUUGAUGGGGUUAUCCGUAAGGAGAAGCUCUUGAUCGAAGCCCCGGUAAACGGCGGCCGUAACUAUAACGGUCCUAAGGUAGCGAAAUUCCUUGUCGGGUAAGUUCCGACCUGCACGAAUGGCGUAAUGAUGGCCAGGCUGUCUCCACCCGAGACUCAGUGAAAUUGAACUCGCUGUGAAGAUGCAGUGUACCCGCGGCAAGACGGAAAGACCCCGUGAACCUUUACUAUAGCUUGACACUGAACAUUGAGCCUUGAUGUGUAGGAUAGGUGGGAGGCUUUGAAGCGUGGACGCCAGUCUGCGUGGAGCCAACCUUGAAAUACCACCCUUUAAUGUUUGAUGUUCUAACGUUGGCCCCUUACCGGGGUUGCGGACAGUGUCUGGUGGGUAGUUUGACUGGGGCGGUCUCCUCCCAAAGCGUAACGGAGGAGCACGAAGGUUAGCUAAUCCUGGUCGGACAUCAGGAGGUUAGUGCAAUGGCAUAAGCUAGCUUGACUGCGAGCGUGACGGCGCGAGCAGGUGCGAAAGCAGGUCAUAGUGAUCCGGUGGUUCUGAAUGGAAGGGCCAUCGCUCAACGGAUAAAAGGUACUCCGGGGAUAACAGGCUGAUACCGCCCAAGAGUUCAUAUCGACGGCGGUGUUUGGCACCUCGAUGUCGGCUCAUCACAUCCUGGGGCUGAAGUAGGUCCCAAGGGUAUGGCUGUUCGCCAUUUAAAGUGGUACGCGAGCUGGGUUUAGAACGUCGUGAGACAGUUCGGUCCCUAUCUGCCGUGGGCGCUGGAGAAUUGAGGGGGGCUGCUCCUAGUACGAGAGGACCGGAGUGGACGCAUCACUGGUGUUCGGGUUGUCAUGCCAAUGGCACUGCCCGGUAGCUAAAUGCGGAAGAGAUAAGUGCUGAAAGCAUCUAAGCACGAAACUUGCCCCGAGAUGAGUUCUCCCUGAGACUUUAAGUCUCCUGAAGGAACGUUGAAGACGACGACGUUGAUAGGCCGGGUGUGUAAGCGCAGCGAUGCGUUGAGCUAACCGGUACUAAUGAACCGUGAGGCUUAACC